GAAAAAAUGGUACAACUUUUGACUUAUAGGUGUCAUGGCACCAAUUAGAGCUAUAUGGAUGAACUUCGUGUGAUUGAGCACAAAUAGUACUGUUAUGCACUCCCUUCCUCUUUUGUUUGUCCUUGGUUUGCUCUUAGACAUUUAGAACAAAACUUGUCUUCAGGCUGUGCAGCAGUUUGGGACUGACUUAUCCCUGAUACAACAACUUUUUCCUGGCCGGACACGUAGACAGCUAAAGCUAAAAUACAAGAAAGAAGAGCGGCAACAUCCAUUUAGGCUUCAUGAUGCUCUAACCAAUCGUUCCAAAGAUCAUUCCCACUUUGAACGAGUAAUUGAUCGUUUAAAACAAAUUGAAGCCGAGGAAUUGCAGAAAGCCGAUAAAGAUGAGUCAAUUGACUUGACAGGGGAGCAGGAAGUGGAGGAGGGAACUCAGGAGAUCAAUGAGGAAGAAGCGAAUUCUGAACAUGUUGAGGAAAAAGAAGUUGAAGCUGUGGAGCAACAAGAUGUUCCAGAAAUGGAGAGUCCAGUUGAGAACUAUGAUAGUGAAGAUGAUUCUUGGAGAUGGAGUCAGUAUAAGAGUGAAGUGUGAAUAUUCAGAGAGAAGGGUGUCAAAAAGAAUUAAGAUAUAUACACUGGUGGUGAUAAAGAAUUUUGCCAUUUUGGUUGGAUAAGUUAUUUGUUGUUGUAGGUUAACUUAAACCUUCUUUAUAUCGUCACUGCGCAUAAUUUAUACUCAUAUACAUAUUAACUUUAA